rnacentral:rRNA from 1 species
AUACCGGCUGCUCGAGUGAUGGCCACUAUUACUGGGUUUAAAGCGUCCGUAGCUUGACUGUUAGGUCUCUUGGGAAAUCUUCACGCUCAACGUGAAGGCGCCUAAGAGAUACCGGCAGUCUUGGAACUGGGAGAGGUAAACCGUACUUCGGGGGUAGGAGGAAAACCUUGGAAUCCUCGAGGGACGACCUAUGGCGAAGGCAGUUUACCAGAACAGCUUCGACAGUGAGGGACGAAAGCUGGGGGAGCAAACGGGAUUAGAUACCCCGGUAGUCCCAGCCGUAAACAGUGUGCGUUAGGUGUGUCGGUAACCACGUGUUACUGAUGCGCCGAAGAGAAAUCGUGAAACGCACCACCUGGGAAGUACGGUCGCAAGGCUGAAACUUAAAGGAAUUGACGGGG